rnacentral:tRNA from 2 species
GUCCGGGUGGCGGAAUGGCAGACGCGCUAGCUUGAGGUGCUAGUGCCCGAUUAAGGGCGUGGGGGUUCAAGUCCCCCUCCGGACA